rnacentral:snRNA from 1 species
GAGGGAAAUCCAGCUCCAACAUU